rfam:Mycobacterium xenopi RIVM700367 contig103, whole genome shotgun sequence.
AGCUCGACGGGAUCGACCGCGCGGGUCACCACAAGAUAGUCACGCAGCGAGAUGCCAUGCCGGUUUUC